rnacentral:tRNA from 1 species
UUUAAUAUGGCAGAUAAGUGCAAUGAAUUUAAAUUUCAUAAAUAAAGAUGUUUUCUUUUAUUAAAA